CCUACGGGAGACAGCAGUAGGGAAUAUUGCUCAAUGGGGGAAACCCUGAAGCAGCAACGCCGCGUGGAGGCUGAAGGUUUUCGGAUUGUAAACUCCUUUUGUUAGAGAAGAUAAUGACGGUAUCUAACGAAUAAGCACCGGCUAACUCCGUGCCAGCAGCCGCGGUAAUACGGAGGGUGCAAGCGUUACUCGGAAUCACUGGGCGGAAAGAGCGCGUAGGCGGGAUAGCAAGUCAGAUGUGAAAUCCUAUGGCUUAACCAUAGAACUGCAUUUGAAACUGUUAUUCUAGAGUAUGGGAGAGGUAGGUGGAAUUCUUGGUGUAGGGGUAAAAUCCGUAGAGAUCAAGAGGAAUACUCAUUGCGAAGGCGACCUGCUAGAACAUAACUGACGCUGAUGCGCGAAAGCGUGGGGAGCAAACAGGAUUAGAUACCCUUGUAGUC
rnacentral:rRNA from 1 species